AACCAUGACGAUGUCAGAGGAGAGUACAUGUAUCAUCAAGACACAGUUAACGACUUCUAUCUCAAAAGUGACUCAGCUACUUUCACUUCAAAUAUACUUCUGCUUCUUAUCCCAUGCUUCAACUGCAUCACUCUCAUCCUCGCACUUCUCAUAGUGAAUCCAUUCAAGGAAACUAUUCCUAUCAUCAGAAAAAAGAUUGCUUACUAUUUUCGGAAAACUGCUCCAGACGAAAAUCAAUCAGCCAACCUACCUGCACCGGUCGCGAAGUGAUUCAGUCCGACAACAGCCAGAUGUUAUGUUCUGCUUCAAAUAGUAUCUACUCCAAUGCCAACGACAGUAAAGAAGCUCAUCGUGGAAAAUAACUUUUCCAUUUUCCUUUGACAUCAUAAU